CAGCAUUUCGUUCCCUUUGCUGGGUGACCAAAGCAACGGGUGAGUCCUGACCAGCCCUCACAAGCCCCGUCUCAGUCCUGUUGCCACUGCCUAUGAAGGCUCGGUUGGUAUUUACCUCCACAAUAUUCAGCAGGACCCGGACCGAGAAGCAGUUUCCGCGGGUUCUUUAUCCCUGAGCCAGAGCAGUUCCGGGAGCCGGAAUUCGGCCGCUCCGUGCUUGGUGUAUGUUCUGAAAGGAGCAGGCUCCAAGAAGCAGUUUCCUUGGGUUAUUUAGCACUGAGCCUGAGUAAUUUGUCUGCAAGCCGCAGGCGAAUGGCAGCCUGAAAUUACCUGUUCUAUGGCUGAAUGAGCCUAAAGUCUUUCUUCUAGUUCUGUUAAGUUACACAUUUCUGAAGUAAGAUUAAGUUUUGUUCUCCUGGGACCUGAAAAUUGUGAAAGCAAAUUCCCAGAACUGCCCAUUAGAUGUGUGUCGAAAUCUCCCCUGACCACCUAGUUGCUCAAUGAGAACAACCCCCUUUCCUCAGAAACCGUGCAGUCCCGCACGUACACACCUCAGGGCUUAAACCAAUCAGUUUAAAUAUAUACCCAUCUUAGUACUGACCAAUCACCCCCACCCGACCUGUUCCUGCCAGUGAAUGUGCUAAUCAUGUUUUAGAGUUGUUAUUUGAUUUUCCCGCUGUAUGUGAUGAUUUGCUAAAGGAUGCUAUGAUGUAUGUAAAGUCCCUGCCCCCUCCAAAGAAUGUAUAUAAGCUCUGCUCAAGUUGUUCCCGGGGCUCUUUGUUCUUUGCUCCUCUGAAGUGAGCACUGAGCCCCAGCAUCCUGAACCCCCAAUAAACCCUUUGCUGUUGCAUGAGACA
rnacentral:lncRNA from 1 species